GACGAACGCUGGCGGCGUGCUUAACACAUGCAAGUCGAACGGAAAGGCCCUGCUUUUGUGGGGUGCUCGAGUGGCGAACGGGUGAGUAACACGUGAGUAACCUGCCCUUGACUUUGGGAUAACUUCAGGAAACUGGGGCUAAUACCGGAUAGGAGCUCCUGCUGCAUGGUGGGGGUUGGAAAGUUUCGGCGGUUGGGGAUGGACUCGCGGCUUAUCAGCUUGUUGGUGGGGUAGUGGCUUACCAAGGCUUUGACGGGUAGCCGGCCUGAGAGGGUGACCGGCGACAUGGGGCCUGAGAGACGGCCCAGACGCCAACGGGAGGCAGCAGUGGGGAAUAUUGCACAGUGGGCGGAAGCCUGAUGCAGAAACGCCGCGUGCGGGAUGACGGCCUUCUGGUUGUAAACCGCAUUCGCCUGUGACGAAGCGUGAGUGACGGUAAUGGGUAAAGAAGCACCGGCUAACUACGUG
rnacentral:rRNA from 1 species